GAACGAUUAUAAAAAUAAAAAAAAUAAAAAGAAAGUAUAAAAUUUAUCAUUUUUCGUAAAACAUCGAUAGAAAACGAUAUUGACAUAAUGGAUUACUUUCAUAGGACAGCCACAGCUGGUAAGAUUGAAAUAACACGUUCCGUGUACGAAGAAGAUGUAAAAAAUGUAGAAUAAAGGUUAGACAUCUUCUCGUGCGAACGCCUAAACGCCUUAAGUCUUUCAUAAACAAUUGACAGAUAAAAGUAAAUUUUCUCCGAAGAAAGAAGGCAAAUAUUGAACUUCCGUGACUAUGAAUGAGCUACAUUACAAAUUCUAUUUUCUUAUUCUGCCACGCGUUAAACAUAGGAAAAAUAUAUGAUUGCGAUGAAUGGGUACGAAGAAAUGCAAACCAAAUCCUAUUUCUAAGCCAAAAUAAACCAAGAUACAUACAUCGGACGUAAAUUUGAAACGUUACGUGUAACUGGUACCGAUUCAAUUUCGAUAUCUCGCUUCUCUUUCAGGAAAUAGCAAUCUUUUACUGGAACAGCGUUAUAAAUAAGCGUAAAUUGAGCAUUUUCCAGAAUGAACGAUCUAGCUGUUUCUUUAAGAUAGAAUUCCAAAAAUAGUUUAACAUAAAUACCAUAAUCCAGAUGAAAGAGCAGUGAAAAACCUGAAAUCAACCAUCUUCUAUCUCGCUACUAUCGCUAAUACUGUUCGCUACUAUAGUCAUUUCGUAAAACGCAAGUAAAAUAUCAAAGAUCUCCGCCGUACGUAUACAUCCAAAUUAUUAUCUAAUCGCCUCUAUUUUCCUGUUCGUGCCAAUGUAAACUCUGAAAACAUGUACCAUGGACCAUGCACCAUGGUACUUCUGAAGGAAACUAUAUUCGAUCCUUUUCCUUCUCUCCUAUCUCACUCUUUAAACGCAGAUAUAUCCUUAUCGUUAAAAUAACUUUUCAACGAAAGUAGUCGGGUUUAAAUUUAGCAUUGUCAUAGUACAGAAUGAUUCAUUCGAGGCUACGCACCCUCGCCCUCACGAAAACAAAAAUAGAGUCGAACUCGGAAGUGCUGUUUGGAAUCGAGCCACCCUGUACCUCCGCGUUUCGAUUCACAACACGGGACGGUCAGAAAAGUGACUCACGAGCCAGAUACGAUUAGGCAGACUCACCUUUCGUUCUUUUCGUCGGUUGCCCCGACCUUUAAGAAAAUUUCGCGAGAUAUUUAUAACUUGCGAGAUGCCUCGUAUUCCAGUAAAACGCGAUCUCCACGCCUGUUUCCCGUCAAACGUUUUAAAAUCGAGUCUCGUUACGUCAUAGCACCUCGUGUUACAGCGAGUAAAUAUUGAAAAUAUCUGACAAUAAUUGCGUUAUAACGAACCACAAGCUCUAUGCAUACAGUUACCGUUUUGCUAUUAAGUAAUUUACAUUAAUUCCCGAGAUGGUAUUGUAUAACGCAUUUGAGAUAACUCGUUUGUAUUGCUCGACACAUCGAAUCCAGCGUAUUCUACGACGUAUCCGGCGUGAUGAAUAUUGAACAACAACCGGCACAAAUAUUUUUCUUACAUGCAAAUUACCGAACCGAGCUGAACCGUCAUAAUCUCUUUAUUCAUUCGUUUUCCUUCUUUUAUCAUACUUCGAAAAAGUUUGUAAUUCGAUCACUAUUAAACAUAUAGAAUGUGUUGAAAAUUCGAAGUUCCAAGGAUAAACGAACAAACAAAUGUAAUGCCUACUUGAUAUUACUACAUCUUGCAAUUAUUCGUGUCACGUAAAGCCUCAAUCAUGUAAUUACUUUGAGCAACACUGCUGUUGUAGUACUUGACGAUUCGUUCAUUAAACGUAAUAAAAAUUAUCUUCAUUUGCUUGAAA